UGCAGCCUGCAACUCGGCUGCAUGAAGCUGGAAUCGCUAGUAAUCGCGGAUCAGAAUGCCGCGGUGAAUACGUUCCCGGGUCUUGUACACACCGCCCGUCACACCAUGGGAGCCGGAAACGCCCGAAGCCAGCGGCCCAACCGCAAGGGGGGAGCUGUCGAAGGCGGGUCCGGUGACCGGGGUGAAGUCGUAACAAGGUAAC
rnacentral:rRNA from 1 species